UACAGAGGGGGCAAGCGUUAUUCGGAAUUAUUGGGCGUAAAGGGCGCGUAGGCGGCCUGGCAAGUGGAAGGUGAAAUCCCUCGGCUUAACCGAGGAACUGCCCUCCAAACUGCCUGGCUUGAGUCCGGGAGAGGUGAGUGGAAUUCCCAGUGUAGCGGUGAAAUGCGUAGAUAUUGGGAGGAACACCAGUGGCGAAGGCGGCUCACUGGACCGGAACUGACGCUGAGGCGCGAAAGCGUGGGGAGCAAACGGG
rnacentral:rRNA from 1 species